rnacentral:rRNA from 1 species
GAUGAACGCUGGCGGCGUGCCUAAUACAUGCAAGUCGAGCGAACAGACGAGAGUGCUUGCACUCUCUGACGUUAGCGGCGGACGGGUGAGUAACACGUGGGUAACCUACCUAUAAGACUGGGAUAACUUCGGGAAACCGGAGCUAAUACCGGAUAAUAUUUAGCUUCGCAUGAAGCAAUAGUGAAAGACGGUUCUGCUGUCACUUAUAGAUGGACCCGCGGUGUAUUAGCUAGUUGGUGAGGUAACGGCUCACCAAGGCAACGAUACAUAGCCGACCUGAGAGGGUGAUCGGCCACACUGGGACUGAGACACGGCCCAGACUCCUACGGGAGGCAGCAGUAGGGAAUCUUCCGCAAUGGACGAAAGUCUGACGGAGCAAUGCCGCGUGAGUGAAGAAGGCUUUCGGAUCGUAAAACUCUGUUGUAAGGGAAGAACAAGUACGUUAGUAACUGAACGUACCUUGACGGUACCUUACCAGAAAGCCACGGCUAACUACGUG